rnacentral:rRNA from 1 species
UACGUAGGGUGCAAGCGUUAUCCGGAAUUAUUGGGCGUAAAGAGCUCGUAGGCGGUUUGUCGCGUCUGCUGUGAAAACUGGGGGCUCAACCCCCAGCCUGCAGUGGGUACGGGCAGACUAGAGUGCGGUAGGGGAGACUGGAAUUCCUGGUGUAGCGGUGGAAUGCGCAGAUAUCAGGAGGAACACCGAUGGCGAAGGCAGAUCUCUGGGCCGUGACUGACGCUGAGGAGCGAAAGCAUGGGGAGCGAACAGG